UACGAAGGUGGCAAGCGUUACUCGGAAUUACUAGGCGUAAAGGGCAGGUAGGUGGUUUGAUAAGUCUGUUGUGAAAGCUCCCGGCCCAACUGGGAGAGGUCAACAGAAACUAUCAGGCUUGAGUAUGGGAGAGGGUACUGGAAUUCCUGGUGUAGCGGUGAAAUGCACAGAUAUCAGGAGGAACACCGAUGGCGAAAGCAGGUACCUGGACCAUUACUGACACUCAGCUGCGAAAGCUAGGGGAGCAAACCGG
rnacentral:rRNA from 1 species